AUUCCCUUCAGACCAAGAAAAAAAAAAGGAAUCUUUUUUUUACUGUUAAUUUUUUAAAAUGCUGUUCCAUUAUAUGGAAACUAGUUUGUUUCUUUGAGAAUAUGUGGAAUUCAGGUUGUUUAAGAUCCCUUUAUAUGCUCUGUCAAUAGAUACUGCCACUAGUUGGACCAACAAAGUUGAUAAUGGACAUUCCAAUCGAUAACUAUCAGUGGCAUGAGUUCUUUCCAAAUGUUACACAUAAUAUGGGCAUUGUUAUUGCAAUAUGGGCUCCAAUUGUCCUGGUCUAUUUUAUGGAUGCACAAAUAUGGUAUGCCAUAUAUUCUACUCUGUUUGGUGGAAUUCAUGGAGCCUUCAGCCAUUUGGGUGAGAUACGGACACUUGGGAUGUUGCGAUCCAGAUUUGAAGCUGUGCCUUCAGCUUUCAAAAAUCGUCUUGCACCACCAGCCAAAGAUGAAUCCGAAAGGGAAAACAAGGAGAACCUCUUUCCCCGGAAGGCCAUUGCCAAGUUUUCUCAAGUGUGGAAUGAAUUCAUAUAUUCAAUGCGAAUGGAAGACCUUAUAAGCAAUAGGGACAGAGACUUGUUGCUUGUUCCAUAUUCUUCAAGUGAGGUAUCUGUUGUGCAGUGGCCUCCUUUUUUGCUUGCUAGUAAGAUUUCUAUAGCAUUAGAAAUGGCAAAAGAUUUUAAAGGGAAGGAUGAUGGUGAUUUGUUUCGGAAGAUUACAAGUGAUGAUUAUAUGCGUUCAGCAGUUAUUGAAUGCUAUGAGACACUCAGAGAUAUUAUAUAUGCCCUUCUGGAAUUAGAAUCAGAUAAGAUGAUUCUAAGGAAUAUAUGUUAUGAAGUAGAACAGAGUAUAGAGCAGGGCAGAUUUAUAAAUCAUUUCAAGAUGAGUGAGCAGCCUCAGCUCAGUGAGAAGUUGGAGAAAUUUCUAAAGCUCUUGCUAGCAGAAAGUGAACAUUUUUCUGAGCCUCAAAUAAUCAAUGUCCUCCAGGACAUUAUGAAGAUUAUUACACAGGAUAUUAUGAUUGAUGGUCAUAAAAUCCUUGAAAGCACUCACCAUGCUGAAGAUGGUAAGACAGAGCAAAGGUUUGAAAGGCUAGACUUCCCACUGAUGCUAAACAAAUCAUGGAAGGAGAAGGUCGUUAGGCUUCAUUUGCUUUUGAACGUCAAGGAGUCUGCCAUAAAUGUGCCUCAGAACUUGGAGGCUCGCCGACGCAUUACCUUCUUUGCCAACUCCCUAUUUAUGAAUAUGCCAAAAGCUCCCAAAGUCCAAAACAUGCUGUCCUUUAGUGUUUUAACUCCAUAUUUCAAAGAAGAUGUACUUUAUUCUGAAGAUGAACUAAAGAAGGAAAAUGAGGAUGGGAUAUCAACUUUGUUCUACCUUCAAAAAAUAUAUCCUGAUGAAUGGACCAAUUUCCUAGAACGCAUAAAAGAUGUUAUAAAAGAUUCCAAAGAGGAGAAUCGUGAGAAAGAAAAGAUGGAGUUCAUUCGUCUCUGGGUAUCUUACAAGGGGCAGACACUUGCUAGAACAGUGAGAGGGAUGAUGUACUAUAAGCAGGCUCUAGAACGUCAAUGUUCCUGGAAUUCGCUGACGAUGAUGCUAUUCUUCUUGGCUAUCGGAACUUUGAGUUAUUUCUUGAUCAUAAGGCUUUUCAAGAUCGUGCACAAGCCCUGGCUGAUUUGAAGUUUACAUAUGUUGUUUCCUGCCAGGUUUAUGGAAAUCAGAAAAAAUCUGAUGAUCCUAGAGACAGAAGUUGUUACAUUAAUAUUCUGAAUCUGAUGUUGACGUGAGUCACUGUUACAAUUCAUUAAACAUUGAUAGUUCUUCAAAGAGAUCCAAAACGUGAAUGACAUCUUUGAAAUAUUUAAACUCUUUUUAGGAAUCCAUCUCUACGUGUUGCUUACAUAGAUGAAAGGGAGGAGAUGGUAAAUGGAAAAUCUCAGAAGUUGUAUUACUCUGUUCUUGUCAAGGGAGGGGAGAAGUUAGAUGAGAAUGGUGGUACUGAUGCUCCUAAGGUUCCUCUGGUGGAAUGGGCUAAGGUUUGUAUGCCGGUGCAGAAUGGUGGUUUAGGGAUUCAACAACUGAGAAGAUUUAAUUCUACUUUGUUAGGCAAACGGUUGUGGCGAUAUGGAACGGAGAGAGAUGCCCUUUGGAGGAAGGUCAUUGAGGCUAAAUAUGGGGAUGAAGGGGGUAGUUGGUGUACCAAACCGGUGUUAGGGACCUAUGGUGUUAGUGUGUGGAAAUCCAUUAGAAGUGGUUGGCUGGACUUUUCUAAACUUCUUUGGUUUGAUGUGGGUGAUGGUAUUAGUAUAAAGUUUUGGGAGGAUGUAUGGUGUAGGGAUUGUUCCCUUAAGGAAGCAUUUCCAGAAUUGUAUAAUAUUAGUUAGGCAAGGGAGUUUUUUGUGUUAGAGGUGAUGCGUUUCUCUAAUGGGAGGCUUCAUUGGGACAUUCGGUUCUGAUGUCCACCACAAGAUUAGGAGUCAGAAUCAUUUGAUCUUUUUUGGGUUGUGCUUUAUUCCACGAAUGUGCAAGGUGCUGGCAAUGACAAACUUUGCUGGAAGGCAGCAAUGAGGAGAGGUUUUGAGGUUCGAGGCUUCUAUCACUCUUUAUCUUCUUCUUCUGUCAUUGAUUUUCCUUGGAAAAUGGUGUGGCAAUCCAAGGUUCCUCCUAGAGUAGCAUUCUUUUCUUGGACUGCUGCCUUAGGUAAAAUCUUAACUACAAAUAAUCUUUGGAAGAGGCAUAUUGCAAUGUUAAAGUGGUGCUUUAUGUGUAAAUGGUGUGGAGAAUCAGAGGAUCAUCUUCUUCUUUAUUGUCCUAUAGCAUAUGAGUUGUGGUCUAUGGUGUUUGUUUGUUUGGUAUACAUUGGGUUAUGCCGUAUAAAGUUAGUGAGGUAUUAGUUUCUUGGCAGGGGAAGUAUGGUAGACAUCGAAAUAUAGGUUUAUGGAGGUUUGUGCCACAUUGUUUGUUUUGGUUCUUAUGGCGAGAGUGGAAUGCUAGAUGCUUUGAGG